rnacentral:rRNA from 1 species
GAUGAACGCUAGCUACCGGCUUAACCCAUGCAAGUCGCGGGACCGGCGCACGGGUGAGUAACGCGUAUCCAACCUGCCCUUCACCACGGGAUAACCCGGCGAAAGUCUGACUAAUACCGUAUGGUGAAGGAUGGGAUGCGUCCGAUUAGCUUGACGGCGGGGUAACGGCCCCACGUGGCUACGAUCGGGAGGGGUUCUGAGAGGUAGGUCCCCCACACUGGAACUGAGACACGGUCCAGACUCCUACGGGAGGCAGCAGUGAGGAAUAUUGGUCAAUGGGCGUAAGCCUGAACCAGCCAAGUAGCGUGCAGGACGACGGCCUAUGGGUUGUAAACUGCUUUUAUGCGGGGAUAGGUACCGCAUGAAUAAGGACCGGCUAAUUCCGUGCCAGCCGCCGCGGUAAUAC